CCUACGGGAGGCAGCAGUGAGGAAUAUUGGUCAAUGGGCGCAAGCCUGAACCAGCCAAGCCGCGUGAAGGAUGACGGCCCUACGGGUUGUAAACUUCUUUUAUAAAGGAGUAAAGUGAGGCACGUGUCCCUUUUUGUAUGUACUUUAUGAAUAAGCAUCGGCUAACUCCGUGCCAGCAGCCGCGGUAAUACGGAGGAUCCGAGCGUUAUCCGGAUUUGUUGGGUUUAAAGGGAGCGUAGAUGGGUUGUUAAGUCAGUUGUGAAAGUUCGCGGCUCAACCGUAAAAUUGCAAUUGAUACUGGCAGUCUUGAGUACAGUUGAGGUAGGCGGAAUUCGUGGUGUAGCGGUGAAAUGCUUAGAUAUCACGAAGAACCCCGAUUGCGAAGGCAGCUGACUAAACUGCCACUGACAGUGAGGCGCGAAAGCGUGGGUAUCAAACAGGAUUAGAUACCCCAGUAGUC
rnacentral:rRNA from 1 species